GAUGAACGCUGGCGGCGUGCUUAACACAUGCAAGUCGAACGGGGGACCUUUUAUUGAAGCUUCGGCAGAUUUAGUUGGUUUCUAGUGGCGGACGGGUAAGUAACGCGUGGGUAACCUGCCUUAUACAGGGGGAUAACAGUCAGAAAUGACUGCUAAUACCGCAUAAGCGCACAGGACCGACUGGUCCGGUGUGAAAAACUCCGGUGGUAUAAGAUGGACCCGCGUUGGAUUAGCUUGUUGGUGGGGUUACGGCUCACCAAGGCGACGAUCCAUAGCCGGCCUGAGAGGGUGAACGGCCACAUUGGGACUGAGACACGGCCCAGACUCCUACGGGAGGCAGCAGUGGGGAAUAUUGCACAAUGGGGGAAACCCUGAUGCAGCGACGCCGCGUGAAGGAAGAAGUAUCUCGGUAUGUAAACUUCUAUCAGCAGGGAAGAUAGUGACGGUACCUGACUAAGAAGCCCCGGCUAACUACGUGCCAGCAGCCGCGGUAA
rnacentral:rRNA from 1 species